GGUGGUUUUAAGAGGAGGGUGUGGGGAUGCCUCCCUCAACUGAUGCUUAGUUUUGACCUCUAGCAGAUUGAGAAUGGGAGCCACGCCCCUAAGACCUCCUCCGCGCACGCGGCGAAGGGGGGGGGAUCAAGUGCCCGCGAGUCGCAGACACGUGUGCGUGUGCGCAGUGUUCGCGGGCGUCUAAAUUAGAGUCGGCUCCGGCACCCGAUCUGUAUUUACCCAGCGUGCAGCGGGAAUGUGUCUACAAUGCUGUUGUGAACCAAGUCUCUCGGGAGAGCAUCUGCGCGUUCCUCGCCUUGGGCGCCGCAGCCUUUGCUGAAUAACUAGUGAGUUUCUGCAAUCCAAACUGCACCAGAAGAUCAACUGGGGACACUUGUGACCUCGCAUAUGUCUCCAAGCUUUGACACCCCUCCCCACAUGCAUACCUGGCUCGAUGACAACAAACACGUUGCCCGGAUGGAAGUCUGUGACAGCCCAUGUGGCCUGAGCGAUCAUCUCUAACUUGUUGCUAUGCUAGAUUUCCUAUCUGGGUAUCUGCUUCCUCUAAUCCGAGCAGGAGGCCCCGCCCAAUUCUUGUGUUUACCCCUCCCCCUUCAUUAAUCGUAACCCCGGGGACCGGGUCUAGCUCCACCCACUGGCCUCAGUAACGCGCAAGAUCUGUAGUGGAAAAGGAGGUAGGAGAAGGGAAACUUACCUUCCAAUCAGAGCUGUGGUGUGUAUCCGCGGAGCCAAUCAGGAAGAGCCAUACCAAGAGCCAGCCCUCCCCCAUCCCAGGGCCUGGAGGGAGGCCAGUUUUGCCCUUCUACCCCGCAGGGAUAAAUCCAGCAAAACACUGCGGAGAGGAACUCGGGUUCGGGGACCCCAAACUGCUCUUGAAGGAGAAACUUCAGCUGCCCCGAGACACACGAGGUGUUGUUUCCUCCAGUCCCGGGUGUUGAAACCAAGGCAUUGAAGAGCCGCCUAUAACUGAGUCUGCACGGCCAGGCAUCUGCGCACGUAGACAGUCCCCACAGCCAGAAGGAUCCCCACUAGGGCUGCGAUGGAGGCAGAAGCCAACGCUUUGGAGGCUGGACUCAAAGCUGGGAGCGGGAGUGAAAGUCAGGAACGAGGAGGUCUGAGGCCCUCCAAGCGUGGAGCCCACGCCUGUUCUGUGGGCCCUCAUGGAGUGGCAACAUCCCCUCUCCCGUACCAAUUCCCCGAGGUUGCAGGGUGCCUCACCGAGGACCUGCAACAUAACAGGUGCAGAACUGCUGCGCACCACUAGCCCGUCGAGAUUGAGGCGUGCAUGGCAGGCUCACCACCAAAUACGCCACGGGGAACACGUGUGUCACAUAGCAACGUAGAGUGUACUUGUGGCCCUCUAGGACCGGAGGCUCCAGGAUCACGCUUCUCGGCCGUUCUAAGGCAAGAAGGGUAAGACCUGCAGGCACCUCCUAAAGCAACUGCCAACUACCCCACCCCUUCACCCUCUCCCCUCACCCCACCCGGCCUGAGCCCGGGGUCUCCCUCACUGUAAGCGGUGAUCCUGGCGGUGGCCUCGCGCGUUUCUCCUGCGCAAGUAACGACGCAGCGCACCUUGGAAUCCCAGGCCCUCACAUCCAGUAGCUGGUAAGAUACCCAACCGGAUCCAUUGAGUGUCUUUCCCUGCCGCAGCUGAGUGCGCAGGCUGGUACGCACCGGCAGGGGGCAGCUGUGGCUGCAGUUAAGCCACACCGAGCCCCCGGGAGGCACAGCCUCCAGCUCCGGAUUUAAACGCACCAAGAACGGCGUUGAGGUCCCGGAAGGCGCCGAAGGGCUUUGCAUCCGCUCAUGCUGGGGGCUCCCACUCCUCGGAUAGGCGGCCACCAGCAAAAGCGACGGGAACAGGACAGAUGCCAUGGCACAUAGCCCGCGCUGAGGAGCAGGGGCCAGGGAGCUUCGACUGGCCCUGGAGAUAAGGCUCCCUGGCCACGCCCCCGAGUGGGCCCAGGAGCCCUGUUGAAGACACCGCCUAGCCUGGACUCCAAAAUGGCACAUCAGACCCCACAGUUAAUCAGAAGUCAUUGCACUUUUCUGAACUGGGCUUUAGUUUUCACUUAAGCCCCAAGAGGUCAUUAAAUCGAUUUUAGUGGGAAUAGUGGUGGCUCAGGCCUUUAAUCCCAGCAUUCAGGAGACAGGCAGGUGGACCUCUGUUAGAGGCCAGCCGGUUCCACAUAGAAGGUUCCAGGAUAGCCAGGGCUACGCAGAGACCGUGUCUCAACAAAGACCAAGGAAAAACAAACAAAAAACUAGUUUGCAGACUCAGGGUUAGGGUAACAGGCAACACUCUGAGGAAGUGGGGGAGUCAGGAAUGCUUAGAAAGGGCCCUAGCUGACUGAUGUGAUGCCUGUCCGCAGACUCACAGAAGGCUGAGGCCAACAGAAAACUUUAUUGACUCAAAGGAAAGACUUCUGAGCUGGGAGGCUCCCCCCACCCCCACCCCCAGCUUGCAGGACCCUCCUAAGUGGUUGCAGCAUUUUAUUCCAGGCUUUCUCCUUGAGGUGGAGCCAGGUGGGGG